GAGAGAUGGCAGAGUGGUCGAAUGCGGCGGUCUUGAAAACCGUUGUAGUGCAAGCUACCGGGGGUUCGAAUCCCUCUCUCUCC
rnacentral:tRNA from 1 species